GUGGCGGCAAUACGGCAACAGGUCUGCCAUAAAACACUAAAGAGGAACAAGACAACAGCAAAUUGUUGACGCGGACAGCAGUUCAUAUCCUACAGAGACACAGUAGCUUCCACAAUGGAUCGGGACAAAGCUAGCCUGUCCCCCUCCACCCUCCAGGAGUCCCCAGGUCGACUGCCUCUCCGUACUUUACUGCUGGUUCUGGUCGACUGCAGUCAAACACCGGGGCAGAGUGGAACUGAGAGAGAAGGGCAAGAGGAACAUGGAGAUUUGAUUUCAUUAAGCCCGAAGGCAAAAGUUCAAACUAUAGUGACAGACUGACACUGACCUGUAGCACCACCUGUACUCUGACUGACAACCCCACCUACAUCUGGUACAAGAACAGACGUCUCACCAACCCAAAUACCAAAAUAACUACCUAGACCCAGUCAGCAGUGAGGAUACAGACAGAUUCUCCUCUCUGCUGAAGAGACUCACUGUCACAUACUGCAGGGUGGGAGAUGCAACAACGGCCUCGAGAACAGCAGGAAGUGUGUUGGUCGUUCUCUGUUCCCGGACAGGCAAAUAUACUUGUAUGGGAGUCCAGACGGCAGCAUUAACAUUUGGCCUUGUAUUUGUAUCCAUUCCUUGCAGUCAUUAAAAGAGAGAUAACCGGCAGAAUUGGGUCCAGAGCCUUGUCUUCCACCUACACCUUACAAGAACACAAUGCAGAACGGUACCGGUACAGAACCGGUUACAACUAGUUUUCAUUGUCUUUGAUCCACCACAUUCCUGUGGACUGUUAAUGGCUGGACAAAGAAGACAUGACGGACAAAUCUAGCCCGUUCCCCUCUACCCUCCCGUGGUCCCCAAGUCAAACAUCUCCUGGUACCGCUUACUGCUGGUUCUGGUCAACUGCAGGAAAACACUGGGGCAGAGUGGAACUGAGAGAGGAGAAGAAGAUAAGGAAGAUGGAGAUUUGAUUUCAUUUAGAACCAUGGUGUGUAGAUUAGACUACAGUCUGCUUCUGAAACAAUAGCGGAGGUGCAUAAAGAUGGCGGCCCGCAUUACUUACCACAAAUUACUACUUUUGCUGAGUUCGCUGUAUUCUACAUUGCUCUCCUGUGUCUACGUGUCAUCAGGGAUGUGUUCGUUCCGCCAAUUCUGUUAAAAUGUUUCUUGAACAGAAGCAAAGGAAGAAAUUGGGAUGAACAUACCUGAAAUUGUUGUCAAAUGUUGGACUAAGUAUUACACCCUAUAGAUAAUUAGCAGGCAGCGCGUGUUAACUGUCCUGUUGCGUAAUAAUCACAUUUUGGAACAGUGAGUGCAUUCUGACAUCACGGUGCAUAAAACUCACGCUGGUGACGACCGUUAGAUAUAUUUUAAAUGUUUCAUUCCACUCAUUUUUAAAAGUGUAACUUGGUCCAAAAAUA